CACCAGCUCUCAAGGAGGACUAUCUUCUGGUCCUCCAGCAGGCUAGACAGGAAAUUCACCAGGCUGCUAAUCUUUUCUCCCCUAUUCCAGAUUCCCAGCCAUAUGAAGACACCCUAGCUGUACAAUCAGUUCUUGUUAAGAAUCUGACCCCUCAAACUCUACAACCUCAAUGGGCUGAACCCUAUUUAGUCAUCUAUAGUACCCCAACUGCUGUCCGCCUGCAGGACCUUCCCUAUUGGAUUCACCGUUCCAGAAUAAAGCUGUGUCCACCAGCCAGCCUGAUCUCUCCUCUUCCUCCUGGAAAUCGCAGCACCGCUGGGUGAGGGUCUCCCCGACCGAGCUGGUCUCAGCAAGAGGCGUCCAUUCAUGGGGGCUGGAAUCCAGGUCAAAGGGUUGCCGGAGUGACGGUUGGAAUGGAAAACAAGCUGGAGGACACCCGAGUACUCUUAAAGCAAUCCCCUGGCCAAAACCAACAGCCGAUUUGGGUACUAUCAAGACACCUGAAACCUUAUUAUGAGCCAGAUGCUGAGGAAGAGACUCUGGGAGGAUCCCGAGGACCCCCCAGUUGCAGACAUGUUGAGACUGACGCUGAGGAGGACCCCUACUGUCACGGCCCACACCCGUCGAACACAGCCACCCACCUGGAGGCAGAUCCAGAAGCUGUCACAGAUGGCAAAAGAAAACCUGAGGAAAGUGGGACAACCAGUCACAAUGAAUAAUUUAAUGGUAGCUAUGAUAGCAGUUAUCACCACUGCCGUGAGUAUUCCUUCAAUAAGGGCUGGUAAUAAUGCCUGGAUGCAAUCACUAUGACACAGUUACACAUGCUUUCUGAUCUCAGUAUUUACCAUAAUAAAUCUGAUCCUAUAAUUGAG